rnacentral:rRNA from 1 species
CAUAGGUUAAUGAGGCGAACCGGGGGAACUGAAACAUCUAAGUACCCCGAGGAAAAGAAAUCAACCGAGAUUCCCCCAGUAGCGGCGAGCGAACGGGGAGCAGCCCAGAGCCUGAAUCAGUGUGUGUGUUAGUGGAAGCGUCUGGAAAGGCGCGCGAUACAGGGUGACAGCCCCGUACACAAAAAUGCACAUGCUGUGAGCUCGAUGAGUAGGGCGGGACACGUGGUAUCCUGUCUGAAUAUGGGGGGACCAUCCUCCAAGGCUAAAUACUCCUGACUGACCGAUAGUGAACCAGUACCGUGAGGGAAAGGCGAAAAGAACCCCGGCGAGGGGAGUGAAAAAGAACCUGAAACCGUGUACGUACAAGCAGUGGGAGCACGCUUAGGCGUGUGACUGCGUACCUUUUGUAUAAUGGGUCAGCGACUUAUAUUCUGUAGCAAGGUUAACCGAAUAGGGGAGCCGAAGGGAAACCGAGUCUUAACUGGGCGUUAAGUUGCAGGGUAUAGACCCGAAACCCGGUGAUCUAGCCAUGGGCAGGUUGAAGGUUGGGUAACACUAACUGGAGGACCGAACCGACUAAUGUUGAAAAAUUAGCGGAUGACUUGUGGCUGGGGGUGAAAGGCCAAUCAAACCGGGAGAUAGCUGGUUCUCCCCGAAAGCUAUUUAGGUAGCGCCUCGUGAAUUCAUCUCCGGGGGUAGAGCACUGUUUCGGCAAGGGGGUCAUCCCGACUUACCAACCCGAUGCAAACUGCGAAUACCGGAGAAUGUUAUCACGGGAGACACACGGCGGGUGCUAACGUCCGUCGUGAAGAGGGAAACAACCCAGACCGCCAGCUAAGGUCCCAAAGUCAUGGUUAAGUGGGAAACGAUGUGGGAAGGCCCAGACAGCCAGGAUGUUGGCUUAGAAGCAGCCAUCAUUUAAAGAAAGCGUAAUAGCUCACUGGUCGAGUCGGCCUGCGCGGAAGAUGUAACGGGGCUAAACCAUGCACCGAAGCUGCGGCAGCGACGCUGAUGCGUUGUUGGGUAGGGGAGCGUUCUGUAAGCCUGUGAAGGUGUGCUGUGAGGCAUGCUGGAGGUAUCAGAAGUGCGAAUGCUGACAUAAGUAACGAUAAAGCGGGUGAAAAGCCCGCUCGCCGGAAGACCAAGGGUUCCUGUCCAACGUUAAUCGGGGCAGGGUGAGUCGACCCCUAAGGCGAGGCCGAAAGGCGUAGUCGAUGGGAAACAGGUUAAUAUUCCUGUACUUGGUGUUACUGCGAAGGGGGGACGGAGAAGGCUAUGUUGGCCGGGCGACGGUUGUCCCGGUUUAAGCGUGUAGGCUGGU